ensembl:lncRNA
GACACAUUCAGACAUGCCCCAAGUACAGCGUGAGCAGCACACGUCCAUUUCCGAUGGUGAAGCAGCUUUUCUGCAUAAAGAGGACAUGGUGUUUCCAGUGGAGGAUGCAUUCUCUGAUUGUGUAUUAGUGGUCAGAUGCUGAGCUGGUGAACUCCUUUCCUCACAGGUAGAAAGAACUCUUGUGCAAGUCAAAAGCAGGGAACUUUGCAAUACCACCACCUGCCUUCUUCUACUGCUGCUGUUAGGUGCCUGAACUCCCUGGUUGCAUGGUUGUGACACUCCUGGGCACCUUGCAUGUGAUGUGACCAGCACCUCAGCCACCGAGACACACCACCAAGAGAGCCCGAGCUUCAACCCUGUGCUGUUUUUCUCCCUCUCCAAUGCCUACACAAUUAUGUGGAAGGCCCAGGCUACACAAACAAGACUUUGCAGUGUGUGUCAAAUCCUGCCUCCCAGAGCAAUCUUUUUGGCUUUGUCUCUCCAGAGCUUUUUGAUCAAAUUUACCAUUUCCCUAAGGAUGACAAGACUUCAGAGUUAGUUACAUCAGUAAAAGAAGAAAGAAGGAACCAGCCUAUCGCUAUUCCCUUGGUCCAAGACUCUGCAUCCUGGAUCACCUCUGCUUUCCCAUUUGGAGUCCAUACUCCCUCACUGCAGAAACAGGGAUUUGCAAGCAGAACUGAUCAAAGGAAGGAAAGGGGGAAGAAAAGCUGUGGGGCUGGUGCCUGUGGGCUGGAGCUCCUCAGUUGCCCAGAGAAGCAGCGGGUGGAAAGAGUAGAGGAAAGAGGCUUCCUGUAGGAAAAGAAAGAGCCUGCUUGGAUUACAGGCAAAAAUCUGGAAGGAUUUUUUUUUUAAGAGGAUUUCAGUGGUUACAACUUGUUACCUGAGCAAUGGUUAGUGGUAGCUGAUGGAGACCCUAGAAACAACACAACACCUUAUUUUCUGCUGCCUAUGAUCACAGUGUCCAGCUGUUAUUUUCAUCCUCCAAAGUAGCAUGAUGUACAAUUCCAUUCAGAUUUCCAUUUCCUUUUUUCACCAGAUAUGUCACCUUUUCUGUUUUCCCUAUAAAUACAUAAAUGUAAGACUUCUCUCCCUUCUUACUGCUAAACUUCUCAACUAAUGUCAAGAGGCAGGAGUCAGUGAAGAGUUUAUUAAGCAGACUUCUCCGUAGGAUCAGUUUUGCAGUUAUGCAUAAUACAACUUCACUUCUUUUAUUUUUCCUUAAGUAAAAAGUAGGGAAAGGGAGUUAUUUUAAAUUUAUGAGCUGAUGAGACAGUGAGUAAUGGUGAAUCACUGUUUAAUAUUUUAGGCAACCAUCUGCAAGGUGAGCUGUACUCCCAUCUCAUAUUGCUAGAACAAAGAAGUCACCUCAAGUUUCACAAACAGCAUCAGUCUCGCAUCAACCCCAAAAGGCAGUAUUCAGCACCAAAAGCAAGCAUCCUCCACCUAGGCAUCUUACUCAAACAGUCUUAAAACACAGGAGGAAAAGAAGCAAAACUACGAUCCAGGGGAGGUUCAGGACGGGUAUUAGGAAGCAUCUCUGCUCAGAAAGAGCGGUGAUGCAGUGGCACGGGCUGCCCAGGGAGGUGGUGCAGUCACUGUCCCUGGAGGUGUUCAGGAGCUGUGGAGAUGUGGCACUGAGGGACGUGGUUAAUGGGCAUGGUGGGGUGGGCUGGGGGUUGGACUAGAUAACCUGAGAGAUCUUUUCCAACCUUAAUGAUUCUAUGGUUCUAUAUUCUGCUUCUCCCACAAAGCACUAUCCAAAUACUCUGAAAUCCCACAUAGCUCAGGAAAACUUCUGUUAUAUCUGCCAUUUCCGUAUUUCCCCCUCCUCCUGCUCCCAGUGCUGGUAUGCACAUCAGUCUCCUGGUCAUUUUUGCUUUCAUGACAGCAUCGUCUCUCCAGAGUGGCCACAUAACCUGUGCCAAACACUCCUGCUGCCAUGUGGCAAGGCUACCUUUACCAUGUGUUAGCAGCAAAAUGCAAGCACAGCCUCUAGGCACAGCCGGGAAGCCUGUCUUUCUCCAAGGGCAUUUUCAAGUUUCCUUCCUUGAUUAAUGCAUGUUAAGGCUGACUAAUUUCAUAACUUCCAUCCCUGUAGCUGUUCUACAGCAGGGGAAAAUGCAAUUUCCUCUUAGUUGGCAAGUGUCACAACAGCUUUGUGAACCGUGACAAUGUACAUUGCUUACUGUUGAAGUGCCCACAAAAUCUGAGAUAUGAAUAACAGUUCAGCAGUAAAUGUGAGUUAUUAAAUUACUAUGGAGAGUCAGGGUGUGGUGUGCCUCUGUGACUCAGCAGAAAUACAGCUCUACGUGCAACAUGUGCACAUCACAGCCGCUCCAAAGGAAGUGGCAUCAGUUGUUCUGGGACUCAUUUCAAUGAAGAACGGAAGAGUUUCACACCUUUGUCUGCAUCUUUUACGUCUGGAGGAAGGUCACUCAUGUCCAUUGUCUUUGCAAACGACAGAAGAACUUACUGUGAUGCAUCCCGUUCCUUCGUAAUGCUUUAUUUAUGUACAUAUAAACAAUUUAGUCUCCACAUUGGUUGCAGACCGGUUACACUCCUUCCACAGCAAGUGCUUUAUCACCAUUCAGUGAAAUCUGAUGUCACAUAAUGUCAACUGACAUUCUUUUUUUUCCCUAAAAACAAGCUGCUUCAUACUGUGAAGUAAAAAAUUUGAGAAGCUGAGAUGAGCUGAUUUAGAUCAGAAGGAUGUUUUCAUCUCUUCUCAUGGCAACGAUUCACUACCUGUGCUACUAAAUUGCAUGCAAACGUAAUUUCCCACCACUGCUUUUGUUUUUUUCAAUUGAGAAUGUCUCCAUCAGCUGAAGGAAGCUUCUGGCAUGCGUUGCCUUAUCCCACACAACACGGGGAGACAACCAUGUUUAGGUCAGUUUCUGGAUGUCUCACUCAACUGGGCAGAUCUGGCACUAAUUUAUUGCUAAAGAAAUUUCUCCUAUCAUCCAGAAUUCUCACUUCAGAGAUAAGAUCUGGCACGCAGAAAGCAUAGGUUUGUUUUCUAAAUGCUCUGCUUCCCUCCAUAAAAUUUCAAAAUGGUUGUUCACAAGCUUGAAGGAGGUGUCUUGAAGGACAGUAACAGAAUCACAAACAUUCUGAGCACUUCUUUUGUCUUUUGUGUGUCUCCAAAAAAAUAAAGAACUGCAGAGCUUUCCACCCUCUCAGUUUUUCAGAAUUACAUAUCCAAGCAAAC